CCGGGGGGAGGCUCUGCCGAGGAGCUCUGGGGCUUCCUGUUUCCUCCCGAGCAGAAUUUGAAAGCAGCGGCUGCCGUGAGCUGGACCAAUGAUCGGGGCACAGCGCGCCCGGGCCGCCCGCGCCCGUUACGGGAGCCCGGGCUGCGCUUCCCGGGAACACCGGGAGCACCGGGAACACCGGGAGCACCGGGAACAACGGGAACACCCGGUCAGGAAUGCCAGGGAAUUUGGGAAAAGCAGGAUCACAGCAGCUUGACCCCCAUUUUAUGGGAAAGCCAGCCCUGGGAGCAGUGAGGAAGAGCUGCAGGAGCUGUUUGGGAGCUGAAGAGGAUGGAUAAGGAUCCAGCAGCCAGGAUUCCAUCACCAGCACUGCUCCUGGCUCCUGUUCCCACUGCCGAGCCCGAGUGGAUGGAGCAAAAUGCACAAGCAGGGACACGCAGCUGUCGAGACACCGGUGAGCUCCUCUUGCUUCACCCCCUGGGCUGGGCUGCCUUGGGCUUGGGAUUGGGCUUUUCUGCAGCAUUACUGCAUCGAUUUGGGUUGCAACACCCCAAGGUUAUUUGUCAUUGAUUUGAGGCUGCUGCCACCACUGAUUUGCCUGGUCCAGGCCAGCCCCCGCCCGCGCAGCCUUUUCUCCAUCUGAGUGAACGAAAUGCUCACCGCAGAGAGAGUUUCCAGAAAUGAUUCAGCC